AUAAAGGUCAGAUCAGAUGAGGAGUGAGACAUGGCCAAUGGAGCUGGCAAUUCGGAAGACAUGGUGGUCUUUGCAAGAGCCAUCUUACUGGGCCUGUGUUCCACAAUGAUCUUAUUCUUCUUUGAAUCAAUAUGCAGCAUAAUCUAUCUGCCAGUUCUCCAAGAGUGAUCUGUAGACCCCUACAGGUCUGGAGAGAUACCUCAGGGGGUCUAGAGUUGAACAGUCUGCCAGUAGGAUUCUGGGAAACACUACUUUUACAAGAAAGUGACCUACAAGCCUCAAGAAAGUGGUAAAGAAGGAAAAGCCAAGGAUAAUAUGUGGCCAGCAGCGGCAACAUGCUCUUGUUUCAGUAAUACCCAGGCUGGUGAGCAAGUACAGACUGGCUAGUGACUGGCCCACAUCAGUCAAGGACACUUUAAUCUUUCUAAAGGGAUGAAAAAUAAUUGGCGAUGCUUCUCUGAAUUAUUUUGAAAUAUUUCUGUAGAAAGAAACAGAGAAAUGCACAUGGGUGAGAGGAGGCAAAAACAAUUU